UAGUAAAUCCCAUGUAAACUUGAACUCGCUUGAGACAAGCCAGUUUUCAACCAAAUGAGCUGAAAUUUGGCCUGAGAGUCCCUAUGGGUAUGCCCUACAAGGGGAACCACACCAGAACUUGAUCUGAGAACUUUCUCAAAAUCCGUACCCACCCUAAUAUGCAUAUAUAUCCAGAGUUUUUUUUAAAAAAGGACCAAUAAACUAUUGUCUUUCAUAUGUUUAUAGGACCUAAUAAAAAAAAACUCUAGAUAUAAAUAUUGAGUGUAUCCCCUGAUGGGCCUUUUUUUAAAAAAUAAAACUUCCAGAUUUAAAUAUUCAAAUAUUAUGUAUUGUUAACACAUUAGUAAUUUGACAUACUAUUAUCUGUUAUAUUCUUUUUAUUAAAAAUCUAAGGUUUUAUUUGAAAAGAUGGAAAUUCCAUAAUAUUUAUUUUUAAACUCUGGAGAUGGAAACAAUGUUUUGUAGGAGCAUUGCCUUUUAUUUUUAAUGAAUUUUAAAAUAUUUAUAUUAAAAAAAUAAAUUUGCAGUAUUUCAUCUACUCAAGUCGUAUUUCGGCCGUAGGCCAAAUGAUUCAAGGCAUUGAUUUAAUUAAACAAAUUAUUUUCUUUUCAUUGAUUUACCUAAACAAAUAAUUUUCUGCUUAAAAAAAAGAAUCAUUGAAUUUAAUUCAAAAAAAAUAAUUUUCUAUCAGUUUCAAAUUCAAAAUUUGUUAAAAGAAUAAAAAAUCCUUAUUGUAAUUUGUUUGUAAUUUGUUUGUUUAUUUGUAACGAUAGCCUGUUAGUGUAUACACUUUGCUUAAGGUCAAGGAAGUAACGGUAAAGGCAAUUACAAUGGAUAGUUUGAUAAAUCAGACAAAUUAUAGCUUAUUUUAACUAUUUUUUAUUUUGUUUUGAGAUGCCAAAAAAUGAAGGACGUGAUGUUUGAACAACCCCUUUGCCAUCUACCCACUGAGAAAUGUAACGACCCGAUGAUAGAAUAAAAUCGGCUGACGAAUGCCGAUCGGGGCUUUGCAUUUCUCAGUGGGUAGAUGUGAAGCGAUAGUGUUAUCGCAGCUGAACGUUAGAUAAAUUCACCACUAAAAUUGAUGCCAGUCUACCACUUGACAAUUCAAUGACCACCACAAAGUAAACAAAAAUAACAUUAAGUGCGAAAUGUGCGAAUCGACGGUGGAUCUCAAUAAUUAUUAAGUGUCUACAGCUGGAUGCGGCCAGGGAAGGUGAUGUGUACACUCCGGAACAUCCACGACGGUCAGCUGUGGCGACCUGAACGGUAGAUUGCGUUGAAUGUUGCAAGUUCAACCGUUUUCCGGCGAUCGUGCUGGAGCACGGCACCAAGUUGCACACUGCCGCUGCCCAACACCUGUCCGCCAAGGUUUGACCUCUCUGUGUCAACCUGAUCGUGGCCGAUUUGAGAAAGACCGUAAGCUGUUGAUGAAGUGACGGCGCAGGAGUUAGUGCUCAAGGUAACUAGAAUGUGGCCAAUCAGCUGAAGGGCAUCGUCACAAGGAGAUAAACUAGGUAAGCGGCUACCCACUGAAAAAUGUAACGAGUAUGGAAAUCUGGAUACCAACGGGGACGUCAAAUUCGUCCUGAAGAAUGCGAUGGAACCUUCGCAAGCUUCCGUAACGGCCAGUGGCGACGCUGGAUCGCGACAAGGGAACUGUCACGCUGCCUCCAUGGCGCUGUCGGUCUCAUUUCCUCAGUUCCGGUUGACAGCUGCCUCCGUCUUGAACGGGGUGCUGAACCGGAUUUCGGCAGUGUCGUGCUUCAUGCCGAUGACAAGUUGUUGUCCGUUUUGCCUUUUUAGAUGGAUGAUCAUAUCGAAAUGAUGGGGCACGAGUCGAUCAUGAUGGACAUCUUCCCCGAUCUUGCCCUGUGGCAUGUGCAUCUGAAGCGUGUCGCUGUACGGUUUCCGACACAAGACAAUGAAGAAGAUCGCAACAUCAACGAGAUUUGGAUCUGACGAUUACUGUUGUGUUUAUAUCAUCUUGACAACAACAAUAUUUGUAAAACUGUAAGUAUUGCAGUUUUUUAUUACCAUUAUCAAUUCCGCAGAGGUAAAUUCACAGUUUGCAUGUUCAAUGAGCUGUUUUUCUUAAUAUUAACCGUCACAUGGGGCGAAUUGGGACAACAGUUUUAACCAUGUUGGAGCACAAUAUUUUGAUUUUCUGGUUGGUUUCGGAUAGAACAGACUCAGACCAACAAAAUGUGUACAUCCAUUUCCAAAUUUAAAAGCUUUAAGUGCUCUAAAAACUGCUGUCCCUAUUCAGACUGUAGUCCCGAUUCGCCCCAGAUUACUUUUAUUUAACUCCGUUGAAUUUAAAAUCUGACACUACUUUUCAAGCGCUAAACCCAAUGUAGUUUGGAAUCAUUUACUUUUGUCUUUUAUGAUCAAAAACAAGUACUUUUUGAACGAAAUCAAGUGUUUGAUUUGAUCAGGAAGGACAGAAAAAAAGUUUUCAAACAUCAUUUGGCCAUUAAAGCAGUUGAAAUUUACGUUGGAUUCAAAAUUCAACGGAGUAAAAAAAAUUUUAGGUUCGGUAAAUUUACAUCAUUUUCAUCGGAAAUUUACAUCUUUUCGAAGCGUUGAUUGUUCGGCACGUUUACGUCGGAAGGCAUGUAAAUUUAAGUUGAAGAUGAUGUAAAUUAGCAUCAUUAAUGACGUGCACUUUUGGUACAUCAUAAAUGAUGUAAAUUUACCCAAAUUUUUUUUUCUGUGUAGUUGCAAACUGAGGAGCAGCCUGUAAAACGGAUCUACACGACUUACAAGUGCUUCAAAAUCGCUGCCUGAAAAUUAUUUCACGCAAGCCAUUGCUGUUUCCUACAACCCAACUUUACUCGGAUUGUACUGAUUCGAUCCUUCCGGUGAAAGCAUUGUAUGAACUACAAACUAUGAUGCUGCACCGCAAGAUCUCAACGGACGCCAAGCAACAUCACAACUUUGCACUGAGGAGAAGGGAGUCAUCUCGCGCAUCCCGACAACUAGGAGAUUUCAUCUUACCACGGCCGUACACGGAGUUUGGAAGGAAAAAACUCUCCUACCUCGGGGGGAAGUUGUACAAUGCAUUGACAACCGACUGCAAAAAAACGACAACCAUCGCCGCCUUCAAACGGUUACUCACCAUCAACAUGAAGCAGAGAAUCCACCUUUUUGUGUAGAAGUCAAAACUAAUGUUCUGUUACAUAUCGUUUCAUGCCACCACCGCCCACAACCCGCUGCCCACCGCCCGCCGACCACCGCCCACCACCCACCGCCCAACGCCCACCGCCCGCCGCCCACCGCCCAACGCCCAACGCCCACCGCCAACCGCCCACCGCCAACCGCCCACCGCCAACCGCCCAACGCCCACCACCCACCAGCAACCGCCCAUCGCCAAACGCCGCUCAUCUUAGUCAACAACUGCCACCACCGCUCGCCAUCAAUACCAAAUCAUAGAAUGUAGUCAGAAUAUAAGAAAUGCACUGCCUUAAAAGAGCUUAGGCUCACUGGCUAGUGCAACAGAUUAUUGUGGAAGAUUAAAGAUCAAUUGAAAAGAAGGGAGCUCAUCCCCAAACUUAAAAAGACAGCCGAGCCUAACUCCAGGUCAAUCUUGGAGUAGGUGAAUAUUCCAGCAAAAUGCUGAGAAGUGUGCAAUUCGGUCUUUAAUAUAUUAAAAAAAAACAAAAAAUCCGAAUCUAGCAGAAAUAGUACAAUUUCGAACCAAUGUUUGUGUACGCUAGUACCAUGUUGUAAAAUAAAUACCAGAUAAUUAUAUAAAUUAUUACAACAUGUGUAUAAGGGCGUUCAACCGAUUUAUUGCCGUGUUGAAGGAUAGAUCGUAACAAUGACCUCAUACUGAGCUGGCCUGGACCAACAGUGCGUAAUCCUUAAUAAAACUAUUUAGAUGAGUUUGGAAUGACAUGUUAUACCUACAAACAGGUUUUUGAAAUCGGCCACGGUCCCGGCUUUGCGGACCAUCUCCAACCUCAUCUCUUCCGGCAGGUUCAGCAGCAGCCCGAGGAGUCGUCCGUCGCCGGUGGGCUUUCCAGAUUUUUUAAAACUCGUCCAAUGUCCCGGAUAUGCGGACCGUAAUCCUCCUCGCCUCUUCCGGCAGGUUCAGCUUUUCGAGGGGCCAAAGUGAUGAUCUUUAAAUCGAAUUCUGGAUCUGCGAAAAGGGAACUGUCAUCCGCCGAUGACGAACAAAAACUCGAGCAGUCAAAAGAGCCAAAAAUGUCCAUCGCCGGAUGGACGAAAAGCGGCACAAAGAAAACAAGUCGCAAAAGUUUGGCACCCAAGGCGGGGACGAGAUGUCAGAGCAGGGCGAUCAGCAAAAUCAUCAUCAAGGGUAAAUAAUAUUCCGAAUCCCCCCUUGAACCUAGCUCGAUCCAACAGCGGCAUUCCGGAGCACGUUCGAAGUGGCCAGCUUCCGUGGGACGUCAGCGUCCACCUUGAGCACGAUUUUUCCCUCUUUCACCUCCUAGACCAACGAUGUAGAAUUCUCCCGGUUCACUCCCUGGACACGGCACACUUAAGCAGGGUACGGUUCUACCGGGCACACACGGGUUACAAAUACGCGGUCACGACAAGUACGGAAAAACUAAAAAAAACGUCUUUUGCGGACUCGAAAAUUCCACGCGGACCACGCCGACGCGACGAGCACGAAGAAUGAAUGACUCUUCACUAAUACUACUAUGUGGGCUCUUCGAGGUUUUGGUGACUGUCAAACUUUCUAGCUCUCUAGUGCCAAAGGGUUGCGCAAGACGCAAGAUGUUCUGCCGUCUGGGCCGUCUGGGUAUUGUUGAGGAAAAAAUAGGUACACGGAAAAAAAUUGCAGAUUUUUUAAUCAACUUUUUUUUCACAAAAACUCAAUUUCCCAAAAUACGUAUUUAUUUAUUUUCGAGAUUUAGGGGACAAAAACCUGCAACUUUUGAGCCAUAGAGAAACAUGGUCAAAAAAUCUGCCGCCGAGUUAUGAUUUUUUGAAAAAAUAGUGAUUUAUGGAAAAAAUCGAAAUAGAACAAAUUUGACGUAUCUUUUUAAUAUAAAAUUGAAUUUGCAAUCGAAAAGUAGGGGAAAUAUACCCAUUUUAAUCACUCUAAGCCGUUCUACCAAUUCUAAUCACUUUUGCCGUUUUCCACCUUUAAUGAACAUUUUCAAAGGUAUCAACAAUGGAGAGUUGCUUGCUCACUUUUAUUUGAGCCAUUUAUUACUUUGGAACAGCCAAAAUCACUUUAUGAAAGCUGUAAUUCAUGAUCGAAGUGCUGAUAGGCUGAUAAUAGAAAUAGGCUGAGAAAGGGUAUAGUUCCCCUACUUUACAGAUUUUUCGAUAAAGGGCUGUGUUUUCAAGAUGUAGCCGCCGAAAGUUUAAUUUUAGCGAAAUAUUAGCAGUUUUUCGAUUUUACGAAACAGUGACCAUAAGUGACCAUUUCUGAAAAUGUUUUUUUUUUCAAAAAGUUCAGAAAAUUUGCUAUAAAAUUGUCUAAGAGACAUUGAAGAUUGGACCUCUGAUUGCUGAGAUACAGCGGCUUAAAGAAAAAGAAACAGGAAAAAUGAAGUUUUCUAAGUCUCACCCAAACAACCCACCAUUUUCUAAUGUCGAUAUCUCCGCAACUAGUGGUCCGAUUUUCAAUGUUAAAACAUGAAACAAAUUUUUUUUCGAAAAAAAUAUUUUGAAAAAAAAUUAAAUCAAGACUAGCAUUUUAAAUGGGCGUAAUAUUCAAUGUUUAGCCCUUUCAAAAUGAUAGUCUUGAUUUAAAAAAUAAGAGAUACCGACAUUAGAAAAUGGUGGGUUGUUUGGGUGAGACUAAGAAAACUUCAUUUUUCCUGUUUCCUUUUUUUAAGCCGCUGUAUCUCAGCAACCAGAGGUCCAAUCUUCAAUGUUUCUUAGACAAUUUUAUAGCAAAUUUUCUGAACUUUUUGAAAACAAAAAAUGUUAGAAAUGGUCACUCAUGGUUACUAUUUUAAAAAAUCGAA